rnacentral:rRNA from 1 species
UACGAAGGGGGCUAGCGUUGUUCGGAUUUACUGGGCGUAAAGCGCACGUAGGCGGAUUGUUAAGUUAGGGGUGAAAUCCUGGAGCUCAACUCCAGAACUGCCCUUAAUACUGGCAAUCUCGAGUCCGGAAGAGGUAAGUGGAACUCCUAGUGUAGAGGUGGAAUUCGUAGAUAUUAGGAAGAACACCAGUGGCGAAGGCGGCUUACUAGUCCGGUACUGACGCUGAGGUGCGAAAGCGUGGGGAGCAAACAGG